CGAGUUCUAACAUUCUUGCAUGUACUCUUCUCCAUUUCACUUGAACUCAUCACCAUUAUCAUCAACAUCACCAUAUCCACCAAAGAAACCAUCUAGUUUUGCUCGUUCUGAGCAUUUUCAACCCAUUAAUCCAUUAAUCCAUUCAAACAAAAUUUUCAUUUGAAGCUUUUAUAAAAAGUUUCUUUGUAAAUUUCUUUUACACAAAAUUAUGUAAUACAACAAGAAUCUAUUCUAAAAAAACUCUAUAACAAACAGGCCCAACAUCAGUUAUAUCACUGAAAAUGCAACAAUUUUGCUACACAUUUGAAGAAUCAGUUUAAAUCUGCUGCAUGGAGAAAAACAAAUUCCACUGACUCCCAAUAUCCGUGUUACUUCCAAA
rnacentral:lncRNA from 1 species